UACGUAGGUGGCAAGCGUUAUCCGGAUUUACUGGGUGUAAAGGGCGUGUAGGCGGUUUUGCAAGUCAGAUGUGAAAUCUCCGGGCUUAACCCGGAAACUGCAUCUGAAACUGCAGAACUUGAGUACUGGAGAGGAUAGUGGAAUUCCUAGUGUAGCGGUAAAAUGCGUAGAUAUUAGGAUGAACACCAGUGGCGAAGGCGACUAUCUGGACAGUAACUGACGCUGAGGCGCGAAAGCGUGGGGAGCAAACAGGAUUAGAUACCCCGGUA
rnacentral:rRNA from 1 species